rnacentral:rRNA from 1 species
CGAUUGACCUCGGAUCAGGUAGGGAUACCCGCUGAACUU